rnacentral:lncRNA from 1 species
GUUUAGCCUUUGUUCCCCUUCCUACUGGAUGGCUAAUUAUUGUCCCUGGCUAAACCAUUGAGUCAGAUGGCUAAAGUAAUACAGCCUGGAGAAGAUUAAAGGUAACAAUCAGAAAUGCAGCUGAGCAAAAGCCUGGUUUGAGUCCUGUUGUGCUUGAGCCUGGCUCUUGUCUCAGCCUGGAAAACUUUUCCAUAGGGAAGCAGUAUAAUCCCAGCCAAACUAGGAAAAUGGCAGGGAUAACUGCUUGAGAGUGUGUGACCGUAUCCUCCUGUUCCUCACACAGAGCUAUCAAAUUUUUAUCUCGCGGAGGGAAAAGUCCUUUUAGACUAUGCGUGGCAAGGAGCUCUCUCUGCCUGACCGCUGUGCCUUUGCUCUGCACCUGAGACGCAGCUCCAGUUGAUGUUACCUCCCGCACAGAAAGAAAAGAGGAAAGCAUUGCUCUGAGAACUCACCAAAAGGCCUAUGUUUCUUCUUCAUGCACCAGGUGCAGCCUCUGCUCUGAGACCAUGCAAGGAGUGCAGAAYAAAAGACCAUAAGGAUAAUGGUACUGGGCUGGAUGCAAGGGUGUCUAGCUCCUUGUCCUGCUCCAGCAGCGAGCCACAGUUGAUCCUCAUGGAAAUGCACAUGGAAAGGCCUUUUUUGGGUCAGUUUAA